rnacentral:rRNA from 1 species
CCUACGGGAGGCAGUAGUGGGGGAUAUUGCACAAUGGGGGGAACCCUGAUGCAGCGACGCCGCGUGGGUGAAGAAGCGCCUCGGCGCGUAAAGCCCUGUCAGCAGGGAAGAAAAUGACGGUACCUGAAGAAGAAGCCCCGGCUAACUACGUGCCAGCAGCCGCGGUAAUACGUAGGGGGCAAGCGUUAUCCGGAUUUACUGGGUGGAAAGGGGGCGCAGUCGGCGAUGCAAGCCAGGAGUGAAAGCCCGGGGCCCAACCCCGGGACUGCACUUGGAACUGCGUGGCUGGAGUGCAGGAGGGGCAGGCGGAAUGCCGGGUGUAGCGGUGAAAUGCGUAGAUAUCAGGAAGAACACCGGUGGCGAAGGCGGCCUGCUGGACUGCAACUGACGUUGAGGCCCGAAAGCGUGGGGAGCAAACAGGAUUAGAUACCCCAGUAGUC